rnacentral:tRNA from 1 species
GGGGAUAUGGUCUAGCUUGGUUAUGAUGAGAGGUUUGGGACCUUUCGACCCCGGUUCAAAUCCGGGUAUCCCCA